UACGGAGGGGGCUAGCGUUGUUCGGAAUUACUGGGCGUAAAGCGCGCGUAGGCGGCUUUGUAAGUUAGAGGUGAAAGCCCGGAGCUCAACUCCGGAACUGCCUUUAAGACUGCAUCGCUAGAAUUGUGGAGAGGUGAGUGGAAUUCCGAGUGUAGAGGUGAAAUUCGUAGAUAUUCGGAAGAACACCAGUGGCGAAGGCGACUCACUGGACACAUAUUGACGCUGAUGAGCGAAAGCUAGGGGAGCAAACGGG
rnacentral:rRNA from 1 species